rnacentral:rRNA from 1 species
GACGAACGCUGGCGGCGUGCUUAACACAUGCAAGUCGAACGGAAAGGUCCCUUCGGGGGUACUCGAGUGGCGAACGGGUGAGUAACACGUGAGUAACCUGCCCUUGACUUCGGGAUAACUUCAGGAAACUGGGGCUAAUACCGGAUAGGAAUCCUUGCUGCAUGGUGGGGGUUGGAAAGCUUCGGCGGUUUUGGAUGGACUCGCGGCUUAUCAGCUUGUUGGUGGGGUAGUGGCUUACCAAGGCUUUGACGGGUAGCCGGCCUGAGAGGGCGACCGGCCACAUUGGGACUGAGAUACGGCCCAGACUCCUACGGGAGGCAGCAGUGGGGAAUAUUGCACAAUGGGCGGAAGCCUGAUGCAGCAACGCCGCGUGCGGGAUGACGGCCUUCGGGUUGGAAACCGCUUUCAGCAGGGGCGAAGCUUGUGGUGACGGUACCUGCAGAAGAAGCACCGGCUAACUACGUG